ACAAUCCUUUUUUUUUUUUAUUAUCAAAUAUUUUUAUUAAAAUCAACCCUUACAGUAAUAGCCUCACAACUUUCUUCAUCCCUUGUAUUUCUCCAUCCCCAUGGGCGGAUCUAGCGUGGGUUCAUUGAACCCACUGAAUUUUUGAAAAAAAUUAAAAAGUUUUUUGUUUGUAAAAAAAAAAAAAAGUGAAAUAGGUUUAAAUAGAAUAUUUGUGUAUCAAAUGGCAACAAGUGAAGCUGUAGCCCAGUGAUAUUUUUUACUUCCCAUCACACAAGAGUUGUGGGUUCAAAACCCAUAACUCACACUUUUUUUUUCUUUUUGUUCCUGUUUUCGUCAAAACUGAGAAUGCUUACUGGCUUCCCUCUUCCAGAUUCCCCCAAAUUGCAAACCCUAACUUAUUCCUCCUUCUCUUCCCGACUUCCCGUGUUCCAGAGUACCGGACUUCCGGCUGUCCGCACUCCGCCGCCGCAGCCUCGCAGUCGCAGCCCCUCAGCCUCGCAGAGCCCCUCAGUCUGGUAGUGCCGUACAGCCGUAGUGAGGAUUGUAGCAGACUAGCAGUAUAUGCCAUUAUACCAUGAGUUUAGAGUCAUUUUGAAAACGUGCCGGGAAGUCACAAAAGUCUUCAACUUGUUCUUCACCUAGUUAAUUACAAUUUCAAACUUCCGAAGUUUCGAACCCACACUUCAAAAAUCCUGGAGACGCAACUGUCCAUCCCAAGCUUUUUCGUUUGAUUUCUUCUCCUUCCUCCUCUCAUUCGCUCAAUUUGUCGUUCUUUCUCCUCUCUCCCUCCCUCCCUCUCUCUUCUCAAAGAUGAAAGUGUAGCCGCAGAAGAUCACAUCCACAACUAUAAAAAAAAAAUGGCAGAAGAUCACGAACUAGAUGAGAGAAAAGAUGGAAUAGUGGUUGUGUUCGAUACUCCGAUUUUAAGCUCAAUUUCGCCUAUCAAACCCUAAUUUAUCUCAUGAAACUAAAACACUUUCAGGGUUUCAAGCUCAACAAACUAUUAGUAUAGAUGACGCAAGUGUGAAAAUAUAGAGAAUGGCAGGAAGCAUAAGUUUAUCGUCACGACUACUCUCCUUUUUUGUGGGCAGCGAUCGUUAAAUCCACCCUUUGCAACACCCUCUUUCGCUCUUGUCCAGGUCCCUCUUUCUCUCUCUCUUACACUUUGUCUUUUGCUUUCAUUGUAUAUUGCUCAACUAAAUUACUGAUUCACCACUUUAAUACUUCUAUUUCAACUUUAAUUUGAUUUCUUUUACUGUUUGUGCUUAAUUGUUGAUUGGAUUAGUUUAAUAUGUAGUAUUCUCUAUGUAUAUUGCAAAAAUAUGAUUGUUAAAUUAAUUUUUGAUUGUAAAUGGAAAAUGAAGCCUAUUAGUUUUAAUUUAAUGGAGUUGUAGGGUGUUAAUUACAAUCUGACAUCGUAUUUUGUUAGUUAUGUAUACAAAUAUUGAUGUUGAAUUGGUUAUUGGAUGUAGAUUGCAGAGUAUAUCUUGAGAUAUGGCGAUUUGUGAGUUUGGGGAUAUGGUCUUAGGUUUGAGGAGUUUGACCAUAGGUUUGAGGAGUUUGAAGAGAAAAUCCCACUGCUUUCACAAUGAUAAAUCAACUUGAGUACUUACGAGUUUGCAAAGUCGUGGUUAAAAGUUUGGAAACUAAUAUAUUCUUAUUUAUACAAUGAUUUUAUUGAUUUAGAUACUCUACUGCACUUUGUCAUAAUUGUUAAAUUCAUCUUUUAUCAGAUAAAUGUUAGGAAAACUAGAUUAAUGAAGAACAAGUUGAAUUGUUUUCAAUGUCAGGUACACCAGUCCAAAGACAACAUAUUAUCUCCUAUAUCUAAAGGUCUUCUUGCUCAAAAAGCCAAAGAGGCGGCGCACUCUUGCCACCCUCCAUCAUUCAGUCUAAGGUACGUUACAUCAUUCCUUAAUUUUAUUCUACUGUGGUAACUCUAUUGUACAUAUUACAUGUCAAAUUUAUAUGACCACUUGCCCAUUUUUUGAAAUUUCGUACUGGAAUGUAUGAUUUAAGCAAUUUUCUUGCUGGAAGAUUCAAGAACCGCGAUCUCCAGAUGUAGAGCAGUGUCAAUUGAACAUGAAACAAUAAAUUUAUCGAGGUAUCAAAGGAUCGAAACACUCUGCUGUUCGAGUUCGGGGCCUGUUGAAAAAUUCCCUGUACAAGCAUUGUAUUUGUACAGAGUGACAUUUAACUAUAUUAGGUUCUAGACUUGUGGUUGAAACAAGCAAGUUUUAGUAGACUGCUUUGUAAGUUGAUUUGAGAGUGGUGAGACUUGUGAAGGAAUGGGCUUCCUGCUAUUAACGUUUCCAUAGUUGAAUAUCCAUAUGUUUUUUGUGGUGUCCAUAUA